GGCACUCAAACACUGAGCCACACGGGCUGGGCUCCAGCAAUGGAUCUGAUACAAUCUAGUACAUGAAGAUAUUCCAAUGCCCUGAAGGCCCGAAUAUACACAUAAAAUGCUGUCACCUCCCUCCUCUGCCCCCAGUAUCCCUGCUCCUCUGCUGAAUUCUCCCACUUCACUGAGGACAGUCAGGCUCCACACAAGGCUCCACACAACCCCUGCUCCAGACUUGACUUUCACUAGCUACAUUCUGGAAGAUUGCUCCGGUGGGUUUUUGGCUGGCCUUCUUUGCCUAUAGCGCCUUAUUUUCCAGUGCUAAUGGAACAGCAAACCUGUACUUCUCUACUAAUCAGAUGAAGACUCUCAGAAUAAAAAUAAUUACAUUAAUCUAGGUUAAUAAAAGCUUAGCUGAAUUUAUACAAAUUCUGUUGUAUGCUGUGAUCAUGUUGUGGUGCUGGAUAUAAUGAUCACAAUGCCUGCAUUCUCAUACCU